AGCGUGCAAGUCGGGACCCGAAAGAUGGUGAACUAUGCCUGAGGAGGUUGAAGCCAGAGGAAACUCUGGUGGAGGACCGUAGCGAUUCUGACGUGCAAAUCGAUCGUCAAAUUUGGGUAUAGGGGCGAAAGACUAAUCGAACCGUCUAGUAGCUGGUUCCCUUCGAAGUUUCCCUCAGGAUAGCUGGCGCUCUGUCGCAGUUUUAUCUGGUAAAGCGAAUGAUUAGAGGUCUUGGGGGCGAAACGCCCUCAACCUAUUCUCAAACUUUAAAUUGGUAAGAAGCCCGACUCGCUCGUUUGGAGCCGGGCAUGGAAUGCGAGUGCCAAGUGGGCCACUCUUGGUAAGCAGGACUGGCGAUGCGGGAUGAACCGAACGCCGGGUUAAGGCGCCCGACGCGACGCUCAUCAGAGCCCACAAAAGGUGUUGGUUGAUAUAGACAGCAGGACGGUGGCCAUGGAAGUCGGAAACCGCUAAGGAGUGUGUAACAACUCACCUGCCGAAUCAAUCAGCCCUGAAAAUGGAUGGCGCUGGAGCGUCGGGCCUAUACCCGGCCGUCGCGGCGGUACGAGCAUCGAGUUGGUGCGCUAGGCCGCGACGAGUAGGAGGGCCGCGGCGGCGGGCGUAGAAGCCUAGGGCGCGAGCCCGGGUGGAGCAGCCGUCGGUGCGAAUCUUUGGUGGUAGUAGCAAAUAUU
rnacentral:ncRNA from 1 species